rnacentral:rRNA from 1 species
GACGAACGCUGGCGGCGUGCUUAACACAUGCAAGUCGAGGGCAUUUGGGUCGCAAGGCUCAGGUGACCGGCGAACGGGUGCGUAACACGUGAGCGACCUGCCGUCCCUGUGGGGGAUAGCCGGCCCAACGGCCGGGUAAUACCGCAUACGAUCGUUUGGGGGCAUCCCUGGGCGACGAAAGCUUGGCGCAAGUCAGGCGCAGGACGAGGGGCUCGCGGCCUAUCAGCUCGUUGGCGGGGUAACGGCCCACCAAGGCGACGACGGGUAGCUGGUCUGAGAGGAUGGCCAGCCACAUUGGGACUGAGAGACGGCCCAGACUCCUACGGGAGGCAGCAGUGGGGAAUCUUGCGCAAUGGCCGCAAGGCUGACGCAGCGACGCCGCGUGUGGGAGG